GGUUUAAUUAAAAUUAUAUUUAAAUAUAUAUAUUUGUUUUGUUUUAGUUUUUAAUUUAAAAUAAUUAUUUAAAUUAUAUAUAAAGUAAUGUAAAUGAAAAAGUUUUUAUUUUUAAUAAGUAAUUUUAAUUUAAUGUACCUUUUGUAUCAGGAUUUAUUUAAUUUUUUUUUUGUAUUUAAAGUUUUUCGAAUAAAAAAGAGUUAAAUAAUUAUAAAAUUUAAUGUUUAAUAAUUAUUUUUAAUAUUUAUUUAGUGAAGAUAUUUUAGUCAAUUUUUUAUAUAUCUAAUUUUUUUUGAUAUAAAUUUAAUUUAUAUAUAAGUUUUAUUAAUGGUAAAUAAUUAAUUUUUAUUAUUUUAAUUUAUAUAAAAAACUUAUGGGAUAAUCUGUGAGUUAUAUUAAAAUUUUAUUUUUUUAAAUUAAAUUUAAUAAUUUUAUAAAAAUAUUUUUCAUAUUGAAAAUUUUUUAAGAAAAUUUAAUAAUUUAUAAAAGAUUUUAAUAAUAUAAAAAUUUAAAAGUUAAUUUAAUUUUAUAAAAAAAUAUUUUUUUUAAUCAUUUUUAAUAAGAAAUAUUGAUGAAAUUAGUAUUUUUAAUCUUUUAAAUAAUAGAUAAAGGUAAUUUAAUUUUGUGUGAUUUAAUUUAUUUUUGAAGAAUUAGGCAAAUUUAAUUUAUAUUUUAAUUAAAAAUAUGAGGAUAUUUUUAGAGAAAUUUAUAAUUAAGUCCACCUGUUUAAUAAAAACAUGGUUUUAAGAAAAAAAUUUAAGAUUUAUUCUGCUCAAUGAUUUGUUAAUUAAAUAGCUGCAGUAUUUUUAACUGUACUAAGGUAGCAUAAUCAAUUGUCUUUUUAUUGAGGACUGGAAUGAAGGAAUGGAUGAGAUUUAAGCUAUUUUAAAAAUAAUAUAAUAAUUUAUAUUUUAAGUUAAAAUUCUUAAAUAAAAUUAUGGGACGAGAAGACCCUAUAGAAUUUUAUAUAAUUUUUUAAAAUUAUUCUUUAAAUAAUUAAAGAGUUUUAAAUUAUUAUAUUUUAUUGGGAGGAUAAUUAAAUUUAAUUAACUUUUUAUUAUUAAAUAAUUAUUUUUUAUGUUGUAGUUUUAAUUAAAAUAUAAGAAAUAAAAUAAACAUUAAUUAAUGGUUGUUUGAAUAAAUAAAUAUUAUUUAUAUUAGAAUUAAUUACCUUAGGGAUAACAGCGUAAUAGUUUUUUUGAGUUCUUAUUGGAAAAAUUGGUUGCGACCUCGAUGUUGAAUUAAAAUUUAGAUUAAAUGAAGAAGUUUAAUUAUUAAGUCUGUUCGACUAUUUAAAUUUUACAUGAUUUGAGUUUAGAUCGGUGUAAGCCAGAUCGGUUUCUAUCUAUAAUUAGUUUAAAUAAUUUUGUACGAAAGGACUUUUUAUUUGUAAUAAUUUUUUAAUAAGAAUAAUAAUAAAAUAUUUUUAAUGAGUUGA
rnacentral:rRNA from 1 species